rnacentral:rRNA from 1 species
GACGAACGCUGGCGGCGUGCUUAACACAUGCAAGUCGAACGGAAAGGCCCUGCUUUUGUGGGGUGCUCGAGUGGCGAACGGGUGAGUAACACGUGAGUAACCUGCCCUUGACUUUGGGAUAACUUCAGGAAACUGGGGCUAAUACCGGAUAGGAGCUCCUGCUGCAUGGUGGGGGUUGGAAAGUUUCGGCGGUUGGGGAUGGACUCGCGGCUUAUCAGCUUGUUGGUGGGGUAGUGGCUUACCAAGGCUUUGACGGGUAGCCGGCCUGGGAGGGUGGCCAGCCACAUUGGGACUGCGGUACGGCGCAGACUCCUACUGUAGGCAGCGGUGGUGACUAUUGCACAAUGGGCGGAAGCCUGAUACGACAACGCCGCGUGCGGGAUGACGGCCUUCGGGUUAUAAACCGCUUUCGCCUAUGACGAAGCGUGAGUGACGGUAAUGGGUAAAGAAGCACCGGCUAACUACGUG